rnacentral:rRNA from 1 species
AGAGUUUGAUCCUGGCUCAGGAUAAACGCUGGCGGCGUGCCUAACACAUGCAAGUCGAACGCUCUUUCGGGCAACCGGGAGGGAGUGGCGGACGGGUGAGUAUCACGUGGGUACCUACCUUGGGGUGAGGAAUACCGCCGAGAAAUCGGCGACAAGACCGCAUACGCUCGGAGACCCCGAGCAAAGUCUCGCCUCGCAAGAAGCGAGACGCCCGAAGAUGGGCCUGCGGCUGAUUAGCUAGUUGGUGGGGUAAACGCCUACCAAGGCGACGAUCAGUAGCUGGUCUGAGAGGAUGAUCAGCCACACUGGGAUUGAGAACGGCCCAGACUCCUACGGGGGGCAGCAGUGAGGAAUUUUCCGCAAUGGACGCAAGUCUGACGGAGCAACGCCGCGUGCAGGAUGAAGGUUUUCGGAUCGUAAACUGCUUUUCUCGGGGAAGAGAACGGACGGUACCCGAGGAACAAGCCCCGGCUAACUACGUGCCAGCAGCCGCGGUAAUACGUAGGGGGCGAGCGUUGUCCGGAGUUACUGGGCGUAAAGCGCACGCAGGCGGUCUACCACGUUCCCACUGACAGUGGUCGGCUUACCCGAUCAAGGUGUGGGAAAACGAGCAGACUUGAGGGCCAGAGAGGGAGACGGAAUUCCGGGUGGAGUGGUGAAAUGCGUAGAUAUCCGGAGGAACACCGAUGGCGAAGGCAGUCUCCUGGCUGGUUCCUGACGCUCAGGUGCGAAAGCGAGGGGAGCGAACGGGAUUAGAUACCCCGGUAGUCC